AUCAACCAGAAAAACAUCAAAAAAAAAAAAAUUCGCCAAAAUCAACCAACCAACCAACCAACCAAUGUGUACAUUUCUUCUCGUAUAACUGAUUAGAAUUGGAUUGGAUUGGAUUGGAAAACAAGAAACAGUCACGUUUUUCUGUGAAUCAAUAUGUUUUUUAUUCAUGGAUGAUAAUGAUGAUGAUGACGAUAAUCACAACCAACAUACAUGAAUCCAUGAUUCAUUCAAUUUGGUGAAACAAUUUCAAAUUGUUGGAUCGAUACGAUAAUUUUUAUUGAACAGCAACAAUAACAACUUGACUCAACAAUGACAAUGACAAUUGGAUUUGAUGUCAAUUUUUCGAAUUAUCAUUCUUCAUACAUUGAUGAUAAUCAAAUUCAAUCGAAUUGAAUUUUCAAACAUUUGGCGCCAUACGCUCACAAAAAAAAAAAAAACAACAACAACAACAACAAAACAGGAAACCUUGGUGUUGCAGGUACUACUUUCAAGAAUAACUAAUCGACCACUACAACCAUUGUUUCAAACAUAUUUUGUUCCAGAACAAAAAUAUACUCCUAGAAUAAUUCUUUCUCGUAUGUUUGCCGCUGCCACCACUAAAAUCAUUGUGUUCCAAUUCAUGUGGCGCCCUCAACAACAACAGUAACAUCAUCAAUAAUAAGAAUUUUUUAUUUCUCUCUUCGUUUGUAACAGAAGCAUAAGAAUCAACAAUAUAGUCAUUCUACAUCGUUUCAACAUAAUUGUAAAUUAUUCAAUGUGUAUAUAAAUAUUCUAUGGGUAUGUGUGUGUUAGUGUUUGGUUCCGUUUCUGGAACCGUUGGCUCGACGACGGCAACAACAACAACAACGUCGACGUAUCACAAACUGUUCCAAAAUGUGUAUGUAGUGGUGGUGAUCAUUUGGGCGGUGAUAAAGAUUGGUGGUGGUUAUAAAAGCAGCAGCAUCAUGUUGUAUUACUAUUUUUCAUCUAAUGUUCUGGAUGGAUCUGGUUUUGUUGUUCAUCCGUUUUUCAUUUAGAUUUUGUUUCUUUCAUCAUCAUCAUAAUCAUCAUCAACGUUUGGAUCUACCGUUCUAGAGACUAGAAUUUCUUUUUUUUUCUACAAAAACUCUAGUCAGUCUCACUCUCUAUCUUAUUUCUUAAAAACUACCGUUGUGUUUGUUGUCGUUUUUUUCCCAUCAUCUUCAUUGAUGUGUGUGUAUGUGUAUGUGUUUUGUCCCAGAAUCCAGAAUCUAAUUCUACACACUCAUUAUUCAAACACUCACUCACUCACACACACACACACAUACAUAAUACAUACAUAGAGUGUGCAAAAUUUUUUACUUUCCAUCAUUGACUCAUAUAUUCUAUGUUAUUCUUUUUUUUGUUGCAUUCCUCUCAUUUCAGAAGAUUCAUAUACUUUCUCUCUCUC